rnacentral:lncRNA from 1 species
AGGAAAGCAUCUCUCAACUUGCACUUCCUUUCCCAGCCACAAAUAUGUAGAACAUUUGCACAACCUAAUUCUGAAUGCCCUUUUAUAUAUGCAUGAAGGAAUUGAUUGGGGAAAAACUGAAUUAUAUUACCACGGAGUCAGUCCCACACCAAGAGUUCACAAGCCUUUCUUCAUCCUAUAAAACACCCCCAAGAUCCAACAUUUGUCCCUAAAACAAUAACAUAAUUGAGCAUAUAGAAAGAGAGUAGUCAAAGCCACCCACCAGGGAGGAAAGCGAGAUGAAGGAAAGGUUGGAGACCGAGGCGCAGACGGCAUCUAGCUCGUCUCGCGAGCUGCAGCAUAUCACCAUCGGCAGCGACCGGCGCCGUCCCGCCACCCCCAGCAGAUCCACUAGUGUCUCCUACAAUCAGAAAUCACCCCCUUUUGUUCACUCAAAUUGAUCAAUAUCGUAACUACGACCAAGAACUUGAAGAAGGUU